AAGAAUACCUAAGGAUGAAAAAGGGUUUGGAUCGAAUCAAAGCUGUUAUGGCACAUCGUUGGUCCAACCAUCUUCAGUCGUGUCUCCUCCUACUCUAUGAAUGUCAUCACCCAAGCUUUCGCU